GAUGAACGCUGGCGGCGUGCCUAAUACAUGCAAGUCGAGCGAACGGACGCGUAGCUUGCUGCUCUGAUGUUAGCGGCGGACGGGGGAGUAAUACGUGGAUAACCUACCUCUCAGUCUGGGAUAAUAUCGGGAAGCCGGAGCUACUACCGGAUAAUAUUUUGAACCGCUUGGUUCAAAAGUGAAAGACGGUCUUGCUGUCGCUUAUAGAUGGAUUCGCGGCGCAUUAGCUAGUUGGUAGGGUAAUGGCGUACCAAGGCAGCGAUGAAUAGCCGACCUGAGAGGAGGAUCGACCGCACUAGUACUGAGGCGCGGUGCAGACGCCUACUGGAGGCAGCAGUAGGGGAUCAUACGGAAUGGGCGGAAGCCUGACGGUGCAACGACGCGUGGGUGAUGAAGGUCUUCGGAGCGUAGAAAUCUGUUAUUGGGGAAGAACAUAUGUGGAAUUAACUGUGCACAUCUUGACGGUACCUAAUCAAAAAGCCACGGCUAACUACGUG
rnacentral:rRNA from 1 species